GAGUUAUUCUGCAUAAAGUUCCAAGUGGCAUUAAAUUUCAUUUAGAAAUAAGAAUUUUUGAAACAAAUGUUUAUAAGCCAUAUCAUAAUUUUCCUUCUCUUUUUAAAAAACAUUUUCUGAAAACAACUUGACCUUUUGCUUAGUGACUUAGCAUUUUUUUUUCCCAGGAGAGGUGCCCGAUGAGCUCCCAGUCAUGUGGUUCAGGGCGGGCUCUGGAAGACUCACAGAGGAGACUCCUCCGAGAAACCAAGAAGGUUUCUGUCCAAGUCGGGAUCUGCUCUGCUCAGGAUGCUCCUCCAACACACACAGUGAAAAACUGAGCACCUAGAGAGCAACACCAAAAACCCAUGGCCAAUAAUGGAGAGCCAAAUCAGGAGAGCAUUCAGCAAAGCAAUUCUUGCUGUAGAAGGAACAGCACAAAAAGCUGGAAGGAAACUGAGGCAUGCGUGAAAGAUAACUUGUCAGUGUUUGCAGUCUACUGAGAUCCCCGCUGCAAGAAAAGGCAGGAUUUCCACUUGCUUCUUGGCCCGCCUCUGUUGUCCAGAAUCCAGGACAGGUGACAAGAGAAGCAGAUGUGAUCUGCACAAGCUGGCUCAGCUGGGUUGGGAGUUGCUCUUCCUGGACAGGCCGGGAAGGGUGCUGGAGGGGAGGGAGGAGGAGAGAGGUUUUAGGGGAGGGGUGCUGAGCAGUCAGGGACCUGUAAGGUCACAUUUCUUUCAGGUAUUCUUUCUAGGUGUACUGAAUGGGAACAUUGUCUGUCAUCCCUAGACUGCAUUAAAGACCUA
rnacentral:lncRNA from 10 species